ACCAAACAGUUCAGCGCCUAUUUGGAAACCCUAAUACACGCUGCGGCCGUGAUAUUCCAUCAACUCAGCUCUUUCAUCUACCGCAGGGUCAGCAUCCAAUGAUUCACAUUGAAAGGGUCCAUCUGUAAAUAUUGAAGAACCCUAGGCUAUAGAUUGAUUGGGGCUGGGUUGAUGAACGGCGCCCUUUAGGGUUCACAAUCGUCUAUAAUCUCCCUCAAAAUGAAGGAUUUAGAGGUUGCCUCGUGUCCUUUUGAUGGUCCGUAGAUGGUCUCCUACCAUGCGUUUUACGGCUGAAACUCUUCUCUAGAGUCCUUCGAGAUGAUGGAUUUUGUAGGUUUCUUCGGGUCGUUCUGAUGGCCUAUGAAGAUGUUCUGCCGUUGGAAAGCAGAGAAAUUUCUUCUUUUAUUUGCCUCAGUGUUGGUUUAUCUUUUACUUGGCAUCCGCAGACUGAUGAAAUUCCUCGCGAGAAUCAAAUUAGAAGCAACAAUAUCAAUCUUCUGUGCGUGCGCAUUCAGUGAUGGGAUGAUCCCAGCAGUCGUUCCUUGUUUCAAGAACUUACUUGGCUAUUAAGGCAAUGUUAAGUCAUUAAUCAUUUGUUGAGCAACAUUCAUUGAAAUUUUUAUUUAAGGUGUUUCACUCUAUGGUUGUGACGGGGGAUGCCAUAAUGGCUUCCCUUAACAUUUUUUUGGAGCAAACCAGUUAUGUUUGUAUAUUCCAUGGUAAACGUCACAAAUUAAAGCCCAUUGAUGUUGAUGGUCCUUCCUCUUGGGAGCUCCUCCAUUGAUGGGUAGUCUCAUAUUCCAUCGCCUUGUGGAGCAGCGUUGCUGCCUUUACCUCUUGGGAUGAGACAGACAUUUCAUUUAUUUGCUCAACCAGUGUUUGAAGAUAUGCCUAUCAAGCUGUAUGGAUUUAUUUUGACUAUUUAAAUUCAUUCAGCAAGUUUUCCUCCGCCAAGUGAUCCACUUAAAUGUUUAUUUGCAUUUUCAUUCACUUAUGUUUCUUCAAUUCCUUCAUUUAAUUGUGAAGGGCGAUGUUACCAACAUCCUCUACAAAUUUUUGGAGUGAACCCAUAAUGUUUGUAAAUUCCAAAGUGAACGUCAUAAAUUAAAGCCCAUUGAUGUUGAUGGUUCUUCCUCGUUGGAGUUCCUCCAUUGAUAGGUGGUCUCAUAUUACAUUGCAUUGUGGAGCGGCAUUGCUGCCUUUACCUCCUGGGACUGGCCAUGAGACAAACAUUUUAUUCUUGUGCCAUUCUAUCCAUAUGUACUGCAUGGGCACACUGAACUGCAGAUCUGUGGUAGUAGAAGUGUCUAUCUUGCUAUCAUGGGUUUCUUUCACAAUUUAAUAUCAUUGUGCUGGUUUUCUUCCAUAGCUCCCCUCUCCUUUUGCAUUACCUCUGUCCAUUUUUUGAUUGUCUCAAAUUCCAUUGCCUUUUGAGAAACAUAACUUGCCCAACCGCCCUCCCUCUUUGGGGCUGGUCAUGACACGAGCAUUUUUUAUGUGUCCAAUAUGUUUUUUGUUCUCAUUUUUUUUUUUGUCUCAGCCUUUCGUUCAUUCAUUCAUUGUGUGGCAGGAGAUGAAUUUUUUUUUUUGAAUUUAUUUUACACCAAGAAUUUUUGAGAAGUUCUCAUAGUUUAAUUAUUCUUUGUCCUUUACGCCCUCAUGUUGAUGUGAUUCUAGAGUUCAGCAUGUUUCUCUGCUUAGUGGAGGAGACCAAUGUUUGUUUUUCCUUGAGGCUGUUGAUUUAACCCAUAUUUUUGUUGCAUUAGUUGCUUGGAGACUGGAAAACUAUGCUACAUGCGAUUUUUUGCCUAUGAUGAUAUCAGUCACCAAAUUACACCAUCUUUCGGGACUGAAUGGCUUUAAAAGCCUUGUUGUUAUUCUGAAAUUCUGAGGCUGCACUGUGCUUAGUCUUUUUUUAUCGAACAUUUAUUUUUUUCAAUUUAUAGGGUAGCCUUUUUGAAAUUGUGUCUUGGAUAUACAAGUUUCCAUUUCUUUGGCUUGCCUUCUGCUGAACUCAAUUCCUGCGGGUUCGACUGUUGCAGAAUGGAAUGUGGGAAUAACAGAGGAAUAGAGGUCGGGUUAACAUGGAUGCACAGUGAAGAAAUGAUUUUGAGGAACUUUGUCAGUUGGGUCUUUUUCUCAACGCAUGUAAUCUCAAUCUGUUCUAGUUGGGUCUUUUUCUCAAUGCAAUAAUUUACUGAAUUUAUAGAAUUGUUUUGAUUAUUGGGAUUUCUAGUAUGUUUUCUCUGACCAUAAUAUAUUUGUUAACAAAAAAAAUUAAUGAUAUGCAGUAAUAUCAAUCUUGUGUGUGUGCGCAUUCAGUGAUGGGAUGAUUACAGCUGCCAUCCCUUGUUUCAAGAAAUUACUUGGCUAUUAAGGCAAUAUUAAGUCAUUAGUUAGGCUGUUUUGGAAGAUUUGGGAAGUAAUGAGUAUGGGUCAUCUGUUGAAUUAAUGGAAAUAUACAAUCAUUCAUUGGUGCUCCGUGCCUGAUAAAGUUGUAAUAAAGAGUGGGUGCUACGUGCAAUAGAGUGCUCUUCAUGAAAAGUGAAGGCAGGUAAGUUUCCUUGGUGCAUUUUGUUCUUGCUUGAUAAGCAUGACAAGUAAACUAAGAUACCAAUGGCAUUUCAAAUGGGUCCAAUUAUUCAAAUUCACAUUGCAUACUAGUAUUUGGGAUCAACAUGAAAUGCACAUUGGAUUUUAAUUUUUAUAAUUUUUGCAGGUUUGCUUUUGAUCAGGCUGUUUCAUUAGCAUUUGACCUUCUGAGAGAGCUUGUUAAGGUUCUACUGGUGCAGAAUGGAAUGUGGGAUUAACAGAGGAAUGGAGGUCGGGUUAACAUGGAUGUGCAGUGAAGAAAUGGUAUUGAAGAACUUUGUCAGUUGGGUCUUUUUGUCAACGCAUGUAAUCUCAGUCUGUUCUAGUUGUGUCUUUUUCUCAAUCCAAUAUUUUACUGUAUUUAUAGAAUUGUUUGAUUAUUGGGAUUUUUAAUAUGUUUUCUAUGACCAUAAUACAUUUUUGUUAACAAAAAAAUUAAUGAUAUGCAGCAAUAUCAA